CGGGGGGUGUGAGGAUCGCUGCUGUGGGUGGGGAUCGCACGCUGCGGCUCCGUGAGGGCCGCGCAGGUAACGCUGCUGCGGGGGGGCUCGGCAUCCACCGCCAUCCCUCCGGUUUUGUGGUGCUACAGCCAUCAAAAUCAACGAUUAGGUCCCUUUUAAUGAUUUUUUGGUGUACUAGACCCUUUCUGUCUAAUUAAAAAUUACACCCACAGCACUGGAGCUUUUGCGAUUUCAGUUUAAAAUUGCCCUGUUGGUAGAUGAAGUUUUGCAAGCUGCAUUACACUACUUUAAAUUUACAUCGCUCUGUAUUUUCUAAUUAAGAAUUAUUUAGAAGGAUUGCUGACUGCUAAUACCUGUCUGAUACAAAUAUUUCAGUGAUUCAUAUCAGCAUAAAUGCAGGUGAAAAUACAAGCAGAGUUGGUCAUGAGGGUCUGGUUAUUCCUUGUUUUUCCCUGUAAAAACCUACUUUAUACUGCUGAAGAGUAUUCUAGUAACACUUCUCUUGCUUUUACUCCCACAGCAGGAAGAUGUCUUGAAGUAAAAGGUAAGUUAAAGGUUUUUUUCCUUUAUAUGAAGGUGUGCAAAGUUGUUAAAAGGAGUUCUAGGCUUUACAAGUCAAAAAUAACCUGUAAAAAUUACAUCUCAAAUAAAAACCUCACUAAAACUAAAUUUGUGUCCGGAAAAGUUUAGAGUGAAUGCUUCAUGCACUGAGGGGGAGGUUGUACAACUGUUGGAGAUGAAAGCUAGUGUGUAAUUAGAGGAGUUAAUUAAGAGCUGUUGAUGAUGAUAACCCUGAAUAGGAAGUGCCGUCAGAUGCGAGAACUGACGAUACCCUGAUUCUGGUCUGAAAUGCAGCUACACACAGGGGCUUAAACCUUGAAAUUCAUCCUCCAAAAACCCACCACCCACCUUGCUCUCCAUGGAAACCUCUCACCUUUGUGUCCCUCUGUUCCCCUCCUCUGCAGAGCCUGCGAUGUGACACUGCAGCACUGGGAGCAGGUCAGAGCUGGCCCUGCUCUGAAGGUCAGUGAUGGGUUUCAGGAUUCCAUAGAAUUCUGCACCAGGGAGAGCCUGCAGGUCUCUGCUGGUUGUUGAUGUCCAGCCCCUGAUGUGAGAGCUCUUCACAAGUCCUGUGCAGGGCACUGAGAGCAGGAGAAUCUGCUGGGUGGUGCUGCUGGAAACAUCUCUGAGGCACAAGGACUCCAACAAAACACCUGAGCUUGAGGAUUUUGUGUAGACACGACAUUUUCCUGCCUGUUACAGAGUGCUAACAGUUAAAAGUGUUUCAUUAUGUGUACAAUAAAACAAUUAUUUUUA